rnacentral:rRNA from 1 species
ACGAACGCUGGCGGCGUGCUUAACACAUGCCAGUCGAACGGAAAGGCCCUGCUUUUGUGGGGUGCUCGAGUGGCGAACGGGUGAGUAACACGUGAGUAACCUGCCCUUGACUUUGGGAUAACUUCAGGAAACUGGGGCUAAUACCGGAUAGGAGCUCCUGCUGCAUGGUGGGGGUUGGAAAGUUUCGGCGGUUGGGGAUGGACUCGCGGAUUAUCAGCUUGUUGGUGGGGUAGUGGCUUACCAAGGCUUUGACGGGUAGCCGGCCUGAGAGGGUGACCGGCCACAUUGGGACUGAGAUACGGCCCAGACUCCUACGGGAGGCAGCAGUGGGGAAUAUUGCACAAUGGGCGGAAGCCUGAUGCAGCAACGCCGCGUGCGGGAUGACGGCCUUCGGGUUGUAAACCGCUUUCGCCUGUGACGAAGCGUGAGUGACGGUAAUGGGUAAAGAAGCACCGGCUAACUACGUG